GACGAACCGUGCGAACGUUGUUCGGAAUCACUGGGCUUAAAGGGCGCGUAGGCGGCUUCGCAAGUCCGGGGUGAAAGCCCCCAGCUCAACUGGGGAAGUGCCUUGGAUACUGCGGGGCUCGAGGAGGGUAGGGGUGCGCGGAACUUCCGGUGGAGCGGUGAAAUGCGUUGAUAUCGGAAGGAACGCCCGUGGCGAAAGCGAGGUCCUGGACGUCUACUGACGCUGAGACGCGAAAGCUAGGGGAGCAAACGGG
rnacentral:rRNA from 1 species